GUGGGGAAUCUUGCGCAAUGGGCGAAAGCCUGACGCAGCCAUGCCGCGUGAAUGAUGAAGGUCUUAGGAUUGUAAAAUUCUUUCACCGGGGACGAUAAUGACGGUACCCGGAGAAGAAGCCCCGGCUAACUUCGUGCCAGCAGCCGCGGUAAUACGAAGGGGGCUAGCGUUGCUCGGAAUUACUGGGCGUAAAGGGCGCGUAGGCGGAUCGUUAAGUCAGGGGUGAAAUCCCAGAGCUCAACUCUGGAACUGCCCUUGAUACUGGCGCUCUUGAGUGUGAGAGAGGUAUGUGGAACUCCGAGUGUAGAGGUGAAAUUCGUAGAUAUUCGGAAGAACACCAGUGGCGAAGGCGACAUACUGGCUCAUUACUGACGCUGAGGCGCGAAAGCGUGGGGAGCAAACAGGAUUAGAAACCCUGGUAGUCC
rnacentral:rRNA from 1 species